AACCAAGAUGAACAGAGAAAGUGAGUUAGCGAGGCAGUUGCAAGAAUGGACGACACAAUAAAUGAACUUCAACUUACAGUCCUCCCAUUCAGCAGCAUUAUAUCCAGUGUAGUUGAGAGCCUUGUAAAGGACCAGGAUCCGCAAUAUGGCAAUGUGUGACACAACAUGUAACAUCCACAGACUGAGAGUACAUUAUUACAGCCUGCAUAUGGACGCUGAACAGUGGAGACAGUAAAAGGCAACCUGGCAUUGUAUCCUCAUAUAAACUACGCACACUGAAAAUAGUUAAAGUUAAGAGUGAAGGUACCAUCAGGUUUUCAACAGCAAGCGCCAUAAGGUCACCCUCCUUGACUGCGUGAAAUCUACUCACGCCCUGGCACGGUAUCAGAAAUAUGCGCGGUAUCUCCACAACAGAUGGUGUGGUGCAUUGAAAAUAUCAUAGCAGUGUAACUGGUAAACAGAGGUUCAAGUAUGAUGGUGGUGAAGUGAUGGAUCUGGCCAGACAGCCGUCCAUUUACAAGAAUGUACAUCAGGUAAUGCAGAUAUUUGGACAACUGAAAGCCAGAUUGGAUGGCCAGCUGUAUGCCCGCAAGGAAAGUAAAACGUACACUUUCCAGCCAACCAGCGACACUCCAUCCACCAGAUCACUCCCACAUCUGUCCAGCGGGCAUGUGAGUUGACACUACUGUGGCCGCUCAACAUUGACACUAUUGGUGAAUCACAGCUAGAGUUCAGCCAACAUUCACAAAACAGAGAAAGGUUUUAUCUUGAGGCCAUGGCAUCGGAAGACUUAGAAAAGAUGUCUUUCUUGGGAACCUUCAUUAUGGUCACUAAACUAAGAGUUUCAAGCAAGCACCACAAUAAGCUACUGACAUGGAUGGCUAUCGCUGAGGAAGAAGACUUUGAUGAAAAGCAUACUCUUUGGUGGCGCUGAACUGACAUGUGGAAAAAUAUGAGAGCACAGAUUGCCAGACUGGAUGGGGACACACCAGAAAAGAGAUUUGUAAAUCUAACUGGAGGCUGAUGGAAGAACCCAGAAUGUGACUACGGGUAUGUUCUGGAAUGAUUCAACACACAUGCAAAAGUGACGAUGAAGAAUCGAGGAUCAAAUCAUUCUGAGAGCAUUGUUGAUAAAACAGGGAAUACCAUCACAUUGACCAAGAACUUUGUGUUACACUUAAACUAUUUUAGGUCUUUGGACACACAAAAGCUGCAUAUAAAUAUUACAUUACCCGGUAAAAUGGAAAGAAAACACAAUGUGUGCGCAACAAAACAGUCAUUGAAAGAGUCACAUAUAUUAUUUAAUGCUUGUGGUAUUUUAGCAUAUCCUCAUAAUUGUAUGUAUGUGCAUUUAUUUGCAUUUUCUCAUGACAACUUAUUAUACCCCCACAAACAAAGUUUGAAGGGGUAUAUAGGAGUGAGCUUGUCAUUCGGUCGGUCUGUCGGUUUUCAUGGUUUCCGGACGAUAACUCAUGAAAGGCUAGACAGAUUUGAAAAUAUUUUGGUACACAGGUGUAACAUCAGAAGAUACAGGUCAAGUUCGAUAUUGGGGCUGGUUGGGCCAAGGUCAAGGUCACUUACUAAAAAUAGAAAAACGGUUUCCUGACGAUAAAUCAUGAAAGGCUUGACAGAUUUGAAAAAAUUUUGGUACACAGGUGUAACAUCAGAAGAUACAGGUCAAGUUCGAUAUUGGGGCUGGUGGGGCCAAGGUCAAGGUCACUGUUACUAAAAAAAGAAAAACGGUUUCCGGACGAUAACUCAUGAAAGGCUAGACGGAUUUGAACAAUUUUUGGUACACAGGUGUAACAUCAGAAGAUGCAGAUCAAGUUAGUGAGCUUGUAGGUCGGUCGGUCGGUUUUCAUGGUUUCUGGACGAUAAGUCAUGAAAGGCUAUACAAAUUUAAAACAAAUUUGGAACACAGGUGUAACAUCAGAAGAUACAGGUCAAGUUUGAUAUUGGGGCUGGUGGGGCCAAGGUCAAGGUCACUGUUACUAAAAAAGAAAAACGGUUUUCGGACGAUAACUCAUGAAAGGCUAAACGGAUUUAACAAUUUUUGUAGUGCUUACUACAAAUAUUGACCUGUCAGAUGGACUUGUUAAUUCGGCUACAGGAAAAGUCUCGGGAUUUAUUCCCAGGUGGAUGAGGAUGCAUUCAAGCCCAAAUAUGUACUUGUAAAAUUUGAUGAUGAUCGUGUUGGAAGAAAAGCUAGUGAAUGCUCUAGAUGUCUUAUUCCAGAAGAGAUCAUCUAGUUUUUCUUGUCAGCAAUGUAACUUCUAAAUUAUUCAACAGAUUUAAAUUAAACAAUACAUGCAUGAUAAAAGAAGAUGCAGUGUGCAGUAACCUUGGAGUUAUGGCCUCUUUUCAAAGGAAUGGUUUGCCAUUCCUGUGUCCAGGCGGCAUUUGGGGGUAUUUGUCACUCCUGUGACAGCUCUAGUUUAUUUCUAUUUGUAUUCAACCUACAUCGGUUUUGUUUUAUGUGACUUGUUGAAUUCAUAUUUGUAAAUGUAUUUGUUGUUAUUUGACUCUGUACUGUGAUGGUAUCAUCUUAUACAAUUCUGUUCUGUUCUAAUCAGAAUAUUAUUUGAGUGAUUGUUAAGUUGAAGUAUUAGGUGCUACUUCCAAUCAAAAUGGAAAUUCAAUUUCAAGUCAAAAUAACAUUUUGCCAGGUUGUCAUUUAAACUGAUUAUGGUUUAAACUUUAUGAUUGUAAUACUAUAUUUUAUGUGAUUUACAUACCAUUUUAAAGCUCAAUAAUAAUUAAGACUGUAACUUAUGAUGAUUUCAAUGCAAAAUGUUCCACAUUUUAAUAUAUUUUCGAAAUUCAUUCUUACACAAAAUUUUAUUACUGGUAACGAAAAUGCCAUAUAUGAGCUAACACUUUUAAAUAAUUUGUUUAGAAAAGAAUACAUGAUCAAUUCAAACACAUCUCACAAAGUAUCUCAAUGAUCUAAUAAUAUUGUUUUUAGAUAAUAUCAAAAUUUCUUUAUUGUCAUAAGACUUUAACCAAAAAAAAUCAACUGUUUAUGCUUAAAACUUUUAAAUCUAAUUUCACUAUUAAAAUGUGGGAGAUGAACUUCGAGUUAGGCAAUGACUUUUAAAUGCCAGCCAAGAUCUGUUACCUAGAAAAUUAUCUCUUGUGUUGUGUAAAUAUAAAUAAAUAAUUAAAUAAGAUACCUAUUGAAACAAGUUAUAAUAUUGACAAAAAAAUGCAAAAUAAUGCCAUCUUUGUGAUAUCUUGGUAAAAACAAGUGUUGCUGAAUUUAUUUAUUUGUUCAAAUGUCACUUUUUUCAAGAUAUUAAAAGUAAACAUAUAUCACAAUAUUUUGUAAAUUACCAAGGCUCUUACACGUUUAACAACUCAUGAAUGGUAAUGAUCAAUUAAAAUCCAUUGGAACUCUGCCUCUUUUGUAAUACAAAAUUUAUUCAUUCAUUCUCAUUCAUGUACACGGUAUUAUACACACCAUUUGGUGACGUUUAUACCAUUUUUGCUAAUGAGAACCUUAAAAUUAUACCAUACUUUUGCAUAAAGUCGAACUAUAACAUUUAAAUGACAUAGGCAGUAGUUUACAGGGCUUCCAUUAAGAAUUUGAAACUGAAAGUAUGAACUUCCUGACCAUCAAUAUUGGAAGUUUUACAUUGAAAUUUGGAAGUUACAGUUUCUCUUCAUACAAUUUUUUCCAGUAUUUUUUAAAUAGUAUGUUAAAAAUCAAAUAAUUUGAAAUUAUAUCUUGCCAGAUUCACAGAUUAAUGUUAUAAUAAUUCAUUUUACUUCAAGACUGAUUGAAAUUGUGAGCAUAUAAGUAAUACUGACACAAGGUUUUGAUAUUUUGAACUUCCAAGCAUUUGGCUUUGGAAGUUUUCUUCAAAAUUAUGGAAGUUUUUGUACUUCCAAGAAAUUAAGUUUGGAAGUUUUAACCCAUUUUUAGGGAGUAGUAUACUUCCAAACUUCCUUUAACGUAAGAAUUGAGCUUAUAUAUUAAUUAAUAAGAUGGUUACAAAAACAUGUUGUUAAUGAUGUAUUUGGGAUAUUGUUUACUUAAUACACCUGAAAGUCAAAGUCACACUAUGUCACACAAGUUUUUCCUUUGACGUCAUACUGUGUUUUAAACUUUGCAUAUCUUAGACUGUAAUUAAAACAUUAAUAAAUAGUCUUUCAAUGGUAAUAACUGUGUCUACAACUGCAUAACAAAGUAUAUUUGUAUUUUAAUUCCAAAAUUGUAAUGUUCGUGUCAUUAAUACAUGUUCUCACUACAUUAGCUCAUACAUGUUUUAUAUAUUGAAUUGUGGCCGAUUAUGCCGGUUUGUUUAUCUUUCUUUUAUUACAAGGGCAUUACAUCAUUUUUAUAACUUGCGCUCUUAUAUUGAAACAAAGGCACACAUGCAGUUAACAUGCAGUAGAGAGUAAAUUAUUCUUGUUUUUCACAUCCUUGAGAGUAAUAUAUAUGCAUUUUGAAUUAUUAAAUUACUCUUUUUGUCAGAAAAUAUGAUAAUAUGAUGGUGUUUAAAAGGCUGUAUUGUAUGGUAAAUAUAAGUUACAUUCAGUAUACUGUUAAACCUGUCAGUGUACAUAAAUUAUAUAUGGUAGAUGUUGAUUAAUUGCAUUUGUAUUUAGUCAGAAUAAACCAAACCUUUAUAUAUAUAAUGGAUUUUUUUGUAAUAUUUUCUGAAUAAUACCAGUACAGAGAAUAGUGUUAAGCAGUCUCACUCCUACCAUAGUUCUUAGUCUUAGAAGUUUGGGCUAAUUUUCAAUGUGAGACUUUGAACGAAUGCAUUUUGCAAGCCAUGUAGUAUAAAACAACAGACCAGACCAAUUGAUUUCAACACUUUUAUUAAUUACUUUUAUUACACUCAUAUACAUUAGUAGCAACAAGAAUUCUGGUUUCCAUUCAAAACAGUGUCUUGGACCAAGGUCUCCAUGCAGAUAUUUUAUGUACCCAAAUCUGUAGGCCUGUACUGUUAGGGGUAAACUACUUUUGUGGUAAAAACGUACUGGUCAAGAACCAUCUACCACUCUACAUACAUGUUAAUUCGAGGACAAAAACACUAUUAAGCGGGACCUUUUGUAUUAAAUGUUUUACUAAUAAUUUAGUUUAUUUUUCAAAAAAAUAAAUAAUGACAAGUGCAGUUCAGUAUAUUUGGAUGCCAUAAUCUGAAACAUAACAACACCGAUGAUGAAAAACUUCUUUAACCCUUAA